UACGUAGGGUGCGAGCGUUGUCCGGAAUUAUUGGGCGUAAAGAGCUUGUAGGUGGUUUGUCGCGUCUGCUGUGAAAAUCCGAGGCUCAACCUCGGACUUGCAGUGGGUACGGGCAGACUAGAGUGUGGUAGGGGAGACUGGAAUUCCUGGUGUAGCGGUGGAAUGCGCAGAUAUCAGGAGGAACACCAAUAGCGAAGGCAGCUCGCUGGGACGUUACUGACACUGAGGCGCGAAAGCGUGGGGAGCGAACAGG
rnacentral:rRNA from 1 species